ensembl:lncRNA
CAAAUAUUUUUAAAAAAUAUAUUAAAAUAGUGAAAAAAAACAUAAUGUAGUAUUGUAUAAAAAAUCAGUACUAUAAUAAAAAGUAAAAUGUUUUGUUAAAAAAAUGAGAGGCUCUUGUAGCUAAAGCUUUUAAUAGAGUCUAUAUGUUAACGUCUGUUUUCUGUGCACUGUCACACUGAACCAUCUUAUUCCAGAUCUCAUUUAGAAAUGUUCACUAGUAAUUAUGUUAUCAGAUCUCGUCCUUGUGCUGAAACCAAACGAGGCCUGUCUAAUUCUUUGUUACUUCAUCAUUAUUAAUGAAAUAACAAUGCAGGGGCAAUUUAAUCGCCACGCCGCUGCCUGCAUCACUUUCACCCGUUUGACCAAAGUGACAGCAGUGAGACACUUGUUAUGCAAACUCCAGUCACUGCAAUUUGAGCCCCUAAAUUGCCGCCUGGUUGGAAACUGACCUUGUCUCUUCACACCUCUGCCUCUGUGUCUCUUUAUCUGUUCUCCUUGGUCGACUUUCUCUGUUUUCCCGCUCUGCCUCUCCACACCCUGCACCAGAUAACUUCCCACAGAUGGCUCAUCAGAAGCGCUUCAUCGAGCGGAAAUACCGACAGGAGCUGAAGGAGAUGAGACGAGAGCGGGAGCGGCAGGAGAAGGAGACCGACGAGGUGGAGGAGGCCAGGAAGUGACGGCGCUUUUAUUUUGGCGGGGUCAGAACCUCGCCUCCAGGCGAGAGCUUUGAGUCGACGACGAUGAUGGACUGUUUUUUCUGUGGAUGAGAUUCAGGUGAAGACGAACAAACAUUUAAGAGUGAAAUUACUUUUCAUGUCCACAAUUUUCAAAGUAAAAGUGGGACAGAAGGCAAACAGAAUUAGAAAUGAAGGCAUCAUGUUUUAUGCUGAGUCAAAGGUGGCCUUAUGUUCUCUCACGUUUGUGUUUGUUGACUCAUAAUUAAAUAUAAAGUGAGUUUUAAACAACCUCAAAGUGUUACUGACAAAUGCCAAAAACUGAAAAAAAACAAAAAAACUGUUAAACAUUAAAUCACAACUGUAAAGUCCCAGAUUUCUGUUCCAUCCAAUCUGAUUUAUUUUUCUCUUUUGUAUUAAAAGGCUUGAGUCAAUUACAUUCAUCCACUAGUGUCACCAUCUGCCUCACAUCUGCCACUCAUCCUCUAAUAAUCAAAAUGUGAUUUUUUUUUCCCCUUUUUUUUAAACCUC